rnacentral:lncRNA from 1 species
CUCUCUCCUCUUCUACGUGCUUAUCAUCAGCCUUCAACUUCUUGACAUCUUCGUUGUUCUCUCCCUCCUCGUCAGCUUCAUCUCUGACGCGCUUUAAACUGCCGGCACCGCCAAUCGCCACAUCAUCAGCUUGGGCUUCGACUAUUUUCAUGUCUUGAGUGGACGAUUCCUUCACCUCACCGUCGACUAGGGUUUCUGGGGUUUACUUUUGCUCUAUUUCUGCCAUAGUUUCCUCUCUGUUUUCCUUUCUUCUCUUAGUCUACCUCUCUCUGACUUCAACUCUCUCCUUUUGCUUUUUUUUUCCGCCGCUCUCCUUUUCCUUCCCUCUGUUUUUCCUCUUUUCGUAGCUAUUCUUUCCUCAGCCGAAGCUCCCUCUCUUUUCCGUUGGCUUGCCCGAUAGUUUUUCUCUUUGCUAAUCCUUGU